CAUUAUAUGCUAAUUAUAAUACAUUAGCAUGCUAAAAGCCACGCCCAACAGCACCAUGACAGUUUACCAAUGUCAUGACAAUGUCAGGAAGUCACUCUAUAUGGUCUAAAAAGGGGAGGAACCCUCAGUUCCUAGAAGCACACAUCCCUUUCCCAGAAAGCUCAUGAAUAAUCCAGCCCACGUUUAACAUAUAAUUGAGAAAUAACUAGAAGUAUCCUUAAUGGAGCAGUGCAAGCCACUGCUCUGCCUAUGGAGUAGCCAUUCUUUUAUUCCCUCACUUUCUUAAUACAUUUGUGUUUACUUUAUGGACUUGCCUUGAUUUCUUUCUUGUGUGAGAUCCAAGAACCCUCCCUUGGGGUCUGGAUUCAGACUCCUUUCUGGUAACAUCUUUCUGGCAAACCACUAAGGGAUUAUACUGAAAUGACCCCCGACCCAAAGGAAAAUCUUCUGUGUGCAGCACCACUUGGCCAACUUUGGGUAAGUGAGGCGCAUUUAACUCGGUAAAGAAUGGAAUUGGGUUAGAGACCCAACUUAGAAAAGUUAGAGUCUGCCCUAAGAUAGAGAGGGUUAAAGACCCCCUCUUAAUAAAAGGCAAGGGUGCUUGACUGAACCUGUUUGGGGCCCAACUUAGGAAGGUUAGAGCCCUUCCUAAGAUUUAUGGGGUUGGAGGCCCCUCUCAGUAAAGUUCCUCUCGGCUAAAAGUGGGUUUGGCACUACUGGAUGUUAACUGCUAUUUUCUUUGGACUUAUCUGCCUUGCACUCUUUGCUGAUGGCUACGGGAGACAGAAUUAAACAUAUUCAGGAUCAAAGGACAUGGCGAGCUAUUUUUCCCCAAAAGGGAGACACUCGAGAGCUGAUGGGACUUCUGGGUAAGAUCCGUUUGUGACUGAAAAGCAGCUGCUUGAACUUUUGAUUAAGUCUAACUGCAGUGGGUGGGUCUUUCUCUGGCCUCCCUGAGUUCCUCACCUUCCCCACUCUGCUUCAGGCAAUGCUUUUCUCUCUUUCUCUUCUUUCCCUGUCCUAUCUUUUCUGUCAUUCAGGGGAACCUUCUUGCCCAGAGAUCGCAUGUUGAAAAAUGUCCUUGGGAGCUUUGUCUUGGUCUCUGCCAUAUCUUGUAUACAUGUGGUGGUACUUUCUCUUGGUCUCUGCCAUCCAGGGAAGAGGAAUUUGGGGGUACAUGUCAUAGUUAUCUCUGAAAAUUAAAUUGAGCAGUUAAAAGCCAAUGCAAUCUCAAAAUUGACUGCUCUAGUCUCCUGGGAAGAGCAAUAAAAUAUUUCCAAUUCUGCAGCUUAGCAGCUAAGGCUUUGUGUUUUUCCAGUGGUGGCACAGGUUCAGGGUUCAAUUCCUGGCUUAGGGAAUAAGCCCUUUCUGGUUUGAUAUCUGCAUGACAUUUACCAUUUGUUGAUUAUCUUCCCCUCCACAAACCAUGUUGAAUUUUUCUUUCUUUGAGGACAGAAAUAUUGGCCAUUUGGCCUGGCUAAAUUUGGGUAAUAAGAAAUUUAAAAGGAUCUUUUUAAAAAGAGUAUUACAUUUAAAAGUCAGCCUAAUUAAAAGAGGAUAUUCAAGCUCUAAAAGCCUGGGACUCCUUGUGAACAACAAGUAGUGCCACAGACCUUGUUUUGGGAAAAAACUCUUUUUUUUUUUUUUUCUCAUGAAACCCCAGGAACCAGAAGUGGAGAGAUCCCUUCACAAUCUAAGGCUCUUUUCUCUUUUGCAUUGCAUUAUCAGGUGUUUUUAACCCUUGGGGGGAUCAGAAAUUGCUCCACAUUAUAAUAGAACUUUGGUGUGUAAUAACUGGGUAGGAAAUAUGCUUUGGGGAAUAGCUAAUGACAGUUAAAGGUGAAUACUUGGCUUUUCACAUGUUUGGAUCAGAGGAGCAUGCUCUUGGCCACCUAGAAGGUAUGGCAAUGUGCUCAUCCCUGCCCCACACUGAGACCUAAGACUCCCAUGGAAGAUGGGGUAAUCACAGAGUAGGUUGAGUGGCUUUGAAUUGCUUUGCAGUGAAAUGCACAGUAAAAUCAUUGCACUGUCUUGUUCUGUAGCAUUUGUCUUUUUUGGGAUUUAAGAUAUGAUAUAAAAUGGGACCCUUAAAUUUUGGGGGAUCUUUUUUGCUUUCCAGCUCUGCCUAUUUAUUAAGCCAUAGAAACUGCAUGUUUUCCUGGCCCUGUUCCUCCAAGGGCUCCACCCUGAAGCAGUAAUCUGAUUAAGAACCUGGCAAAUAAAAAAUCUUAAAACUACUGGAACAUUUCUGUCUAUGUAUUUAUAUGUGUUGUGUGUGUGUGAUAUGAAAGAGCUUUGAUUGUUUUCAAAAAUCAUAAGAGCUUAAAUCUAACAUUCUAUCAGAAAAUAAAAACGAAUGAAUGCCUUUUAGUCCAUGUGACUUUAGUAAAGUUUCAGAAAUAAAAACAGUUUUGAAGAUCAUUGGUAAAAUUCAAAUGUCUUCAAAAUUCAGACAUUUGGUCUGAAGUAGGUUAAAUAUUAAGUUUGCUAGAUGUGUUAGGGUCAUAAACGGCUUCUUUGAUUUUUGAAAAUUGUUCAACCUACUUACUUUGAAGCAGAUUCUAGGUAAAGCCUGGGGAUAUGUGGUGUUAGCCAUGCCUCCUAGUUAUGCUGGAUAGUCAAACCUUAUCUGCACUUCUUUCUGUGUCCUAGGCUCCAAAGGUAGUACAUAGUUAAAAUCACCUACAAUCCAGGUUUUUCCACCAAUGGUUCCUAAGAGUUCUUUCUUUAGGCUGUAUUUGUGAAUAUAUGUUUUUGGUAGGUGUUCCAAAAUUAUUAGAAACUUCUGUAACUCUGAUAUAACUUAGUGUAUGCUAUUAAUAGUUAUAAUAAUUGUUAUGUAAAAUUGUUGUAUGCCACAGAAGUCACCAAAAUUCUUAGUCAAUUGUGGCUUUAAUAGAGACUGCCCUAAAGUGUUUUGUCAUCCAGGGACAAUUGUUGCCUUGUUUUUUUUUUUUUUUUUUUUUUUUUUUCUUUAGAGGUGGUUUCAUAAUCAGCUACAGAACUCUAAUAGGUGUUCUUAAAUGCAGGUUUCUGAUAAAUUUGGAGAUUUUGAUGUUAGAAUAGAAGAAAAAACUUUCAGGAUCUCCUGGAGUGCUGAAAUGUUCACGAAUAUCAGGCAGAACAGGAGUUAACAACAUGGACUGGACUAAUAGAAGACUAAAGUAAUCUUUUUGACUUUUUGCUUAAAAGGAUCCUCUGUUUUGUUUUUCAGAGCCAAUAAAACUUUUCUUUUGAGUGAUUUGCAGCUUUUAACAAACUGAACCUGCUUAUUUCUGUGAACCAACCAGUGAUCUCUUAUGGCUGUUCAAAAGUAACAAGAGAGAUAUCACCUUUUGUCAUAACUCAAGUCUUAUGAAUGGCCCUCACCAUAAUGAUGCUUUUUGACUGAGCUCUUCUCUAACCUGAAUGCAAGAGGUUAGGCAUGAAUAUCAUCCCCCCUGUUCAGCCUGAAGAAGUUACAGAAGAUGAAUCUUCCACUCUCUACAGCCCUUAGGAUUAAGGGUUCUCUUACUGAAUGUAUUCUUAAACUGAACACUUAUUAAUCUUCCAGAUAUCACCUUUUGUCAUAACUCAAGACUUAUGAAUGGCCCUCACCAUAAUGAUGCUUUUUGACUGAGCUCUUCUCUAACCUGAAUGCAAGAGGUUAGGCAUGAAUAUCAUCCCCCCUGUUCAGCCUGAAGAAGUUACAGAAGAUGAAUCUUCCUCUCUCUACAGCCCUUAGGAUUAAGGGUUCUCUUACUGAAUGUAUUCUUAAACUGAACACUUAUUAAUCUUCCAGAUAUCACCUUUUGUCAUAACUCAAGACUUAUGAAUGGCCCUCACCAUAAUGAUGCUUUUUGACUGAGCUCUUCUCUAACCUGAAUGCAAGAGGUUAGGCAUGAAUAUCAUCCCCCCUGUUCAGCCUGAAGAAGUUACAGAAGAUGAAUCUUCCUCUCUCUACAGCCCUUAGGAUUAAGGGUUCUCUUAUAAAAGGGAGGGGGUAAAUAUGUCAGAGGCAUUUGAACCAGAGAAACUCCAUCUUGAAUAGUCCCUGUGUAAAAUAAGACUGAGACCUACUGGGAUGCAUUCCCAGGAGGUUAGGCAUUCUAAUUCACAGGAUGAGAUAAGAAGUCUCCACAAGAUACAGAUUAUAAAGAUUUGGCUGAUAAAACUGUUUGUGAUAAAGAAGCUGGCCAAAACACACCAAAACCAAGAUGCCAACAAAAGUGUCCUCUGGUUGUCCUCACUGCUCAUUAUAUGCUAAUUAUAAUGCAUUAGCAUGUUAAAAGACACUCCCACCAGUGCAAUGACAAUGUACAAAUGCCUUGGCAACAUCAAGAAGUUACCCUAUAUGGUUUAAAAAUGCAGCAACAUGGAUGCAGGGGGAGGCCAUAAUCAUAAGGGAGUUAACACAAGAAGAAACAACAAAAUUCCACAUGUUUUCAUGGAUAAGUGGGAGCUUAACACUGAGCAUGGGAACAUGAACAUGAACACGAGAAAUAUAGACACUGUGGACUCCUAGAGGUAGGUGGUAGGGAAUGGAAUGUUGGUUGAAAAACUACUUAUUGAACGUUAGGCUCACUACCUGGGUCCAAAAUUGCCAUGUAACAAUCCUACACAUGUAACCCCUGUAUCUCCCUGUAUCUUAAACAAAAGUUGAAAUUCGGAAAAGAAACUGCCUUCACGGUAUCCCUUAUGUGUUGCUAUAUCGUGUUUUCAGUUUCAUUUGUCUCAAGAUAUUUCAUGAUUUCCCUUUUUUGAUCCAUUGCUUAUUCAUGUGUGUGUUGUUUUGUUUCCACAUAUUUGUGUAUUUUCCAAUUGUCCUGUUGUUAUUAAUUUCUAGAUCCAUCUUAUUCUGAUUGAAAAAGAGGUUUGCUAUUAUUUCAAUCUUCUUAAAUUUGUUAAGACUUGGUUUGUGGUGUAACAUGUAACUUGUCCUGGAGAAUGUUCCAGGUGUGCUUGAAAAGGAUGUCUAUUCUGCAAAAUGGAUAUGCAAAAAUGGCUAGCAUUCCUAUACACCAACAAUAGGCAAGCAGGGAGCCAAAUCAUGAUUGAACUCCCAUUCACAAUUUCUACACAAAGACGGAAAUACCUAGAAACACAGCUAACAAGGGAAAUGAAGGACCUCUUUAAGGAGAACCACAAACCACUUCUCAAAGGAAUCAGAGAGAA
rnacentral:lncRNA from 1 species